AUUGAACGCUGGCGGCAGGCCUAACACAUGCAAGUCGAACGAGUGGCGGACGUGUGAGUAAUAUCUGGGAAACUGCCCGAUGGCGGGGGAUAACUACUCGAAACGGUAGCUAAUACCGCAUACCAUCGGAUGUGCCCAUAUGGGAUUAGCUAGUUGGGGGGGUAAAGGCUCACCUAGGCGACGAUCCCUAGCUGGUUUGAGAGGAUGACCAGCCACGCUGGAACUGAGACACGGUCCAGACUCCUACGGGAGGAAGAAGUGGGGAAUUUUGGACAAUGGGGGCAAGCCUGAUGCAGCCAGACCGCGUGGAUGAAGAAGGCCUUCGGGUUGUAAAGUACUUUCAGCGAGGAGGCGUUACUCGCAGAAGAAGCACCGGCUAACUCCGUGCCAGCAGCCGCGGUAAUUC
rnacentral:rRNA from 1 species